rnacentral:rRNA from 1 species
GUGAACGCUGGCGGUAGGCCUAACACAUGCAAGUCGAACGGCAGCACAGUAAGAGCUUGCUCUUACGGGUGGCGAGUGGCGGACGGGUGAGGAAUACAUCGGAAUCUACUUUUUCGUGGGGGAUAAUGUAGGGAAACUUACGCUAAUACCGCAUACGACCUACGGGUGAAAGCAGGGGAUCUUCGGACCUUGCGCGAUUGGAUGAGCCGAUGUCGGAUUAGCUAGUUGGCGGGGUAAAGGCCCACCAAGGCGACGAUCCGUAGCUGGUCUGAGAGGAUGAUCAGCCACACUGGAACUGAGACACGGUCCAGACUCCUACGGGAGGCAGCAGUGGGGAAUAUUGGACAAUGGGCGCAAGCCUGAUCCAGCCAUACCGCGUGGGUGAAGAAGGCCUUCGGGUUGUAAAGCCCUUUUGUUGGGAAAGAAAAGCAGCAGGUUAAUACCCCGCUGUUCUGACGGUACCCAAAGAAUAAGCACCGGCUAACUUCGUG